rnacentral:rRNA from 1 species
CCUACGGGAGGCAGCAGUGAGGAAUAUUGGUCAAUGGACGCAAGUCUGAACCAGCCAUGCCGCGUGCAGGAAGACGGCUCUAUGAGUUGUAAACUGCUUUUGUACGAGGGUAAACGCAGAUACGCGUAUCUGUCUGAAAGUAUCGUACGAAUAAGGAUCGGCUAACUCCGUGCCAGCAGCCGCGGUAAUACGGAGGAUUCAAGCGUUAUCCGGAUUUAUUGGGUUUAAAGGGUGCGUAGGCGGUCGGAUAAGUUAGAGGUGAAAUCCCGAGGCUCAACUUCGGAAUUGCCUCUGAUACUGGUCGGCGAGAGAGUAGUUGCGGUAGGCGGAAUGUAUGGUGUAGCGGUGAAAUGCUUAGAGAGCAUACAGAACACCGAUUGCGAAGGCAGCUUACAAAGCUACUUCUGACGUUGAGGCACGAAAGCGUGGGGAGCAAACAGGAUUAGAUACCCUAGUAGUC